rnacentral:rRNA from 1 species
UACGAAGGGGGCUAGCGUUGCUCGGAAUUACUGGGCGUAAAGGGCGCGUAGGCGGCCAUCUACGUCGAACGUGAAAUCCCCGGGCUCAACCCGGGAACUGCGUCCGAUACUGGUUGGCUUGAAUCCGGGAGAGGGAUGCGGAAUUCCAGGUGUAGCGGUGAAAUGCGUAGAUAUCUGGAGGAACACCGGUGGCGAAGGCGGCAUCCUGGACCGGUAUUGACACUGAAAAGCGAAAGCCAGGGGAGCAAACGGG